rnacentral:misc_RNA from 1 species
UGCUAUUUGUGCAACUGUCUGCAAGUGUUGCCGUGUUUUCUCUCCCAAAGCUCAACGAUUAUGUCAAGAACAAUUCUGGUCCACUGAAGCCUGCUAUCCAGACUAUUGAGUCUACGGUUAAGACCGUGGUUACACCUAUCUAUCCUACGUUUGAGGAUGUUUUCAAUAAGGUUCUCAAGUUUGCAGACANNNNNNNUGCAGCUGUCACUGUUCUUAAUCCCUAUAUUCCCACAGCUGUCAAGAAUCUGUAUACCCACG